GAACGCUGGCGGCAUGCCUAACACAUGCAAGUCGAACGAACCCUUCGGGGUGAGUGGCGCACGGGUGCGUAACGCGUGGGAACCUGCCUUUAGGUUCGGAAUAACAGUUAGAAAUGACUGCUAAUACCGGAUAAUGUCUUCGGACCAAAGAUUUAUCGCCUUUAGAUGGGCCCGCGUUAGAUUAGGUAGUUGGUAGGGUAAUGGCCUACCAAGCCGACGAUCUAUAGCUGGUCUGAGAGGAUGAUCAGCCACACUGGGACUGAGACACGGCCCAGACUCCUACGGGAGGCAGCAGUGGGGAAUAUUGGACAAUGGGCGAAAGCCUGAUCCAGCAAUGCCGCGUGAGUGAUGAAGGCCUUAGGGUUGUAAAGCUCUUUUACUAGGGAUGAUAAUGACAGUACCUAGAGAAUAAGCUCCGGCUAACUCCGUGCCAGCAGCCGCGGUAAUAC
rnacentral:rRNA from 1 species